rnacentral:rRNA from 1 species
UACGUAGGGUGCAAGCGUUGUCCGGAUUUAUUGGGCGUAAAGAGCUCGUAGGCGGUCUGUCGCGUCGGAUGUGAAAACCCAGGGCUCAACCCUGGGCCUGCAUUCGAUACGGGCAGACUAGAGUGUGGCAGGGGAGACUGGAAUUCCUGGUGUAGCGGGUGAAAUGCGCAGAUAUCAGGAGGAACACCGGUGGCGAAGGCGGGUCUCUGGGCCAAUACUGACGCUGAGGAGCGAAAGCGUGGGGAGCGAACAGG